rnacentral:rRNA from 1 species
AGAAAAGAAAAAGAGAUUAACUAGGUUAAUUAAAAUUCGUAGUAAAUAAGUGAUUAUGAAAAUAUUUGCUGAGGUCUUGACCAAGUCACGUGCCAGCAGUCGCGGCAAUACGUGGAAGACAAGUGUUAUUCAUCUUUAAUAGGUUUAAAGGGUACCUAGACAGUUAAUUAAGCAAGAAAUUGUACUAAUUAAAACUAGAGUUUAAUGUAGGAAGGGUCAGUACGAUGCGGUGUAGAGAUAAAAUUUUUUGAUACUCAUGGGGACUGGUAAAGGCGAAGGCAACCUUUUAUGUAAAAACUGACGUUAAGGGACGAAGGCUCAAGGAGAAAAAAGAGGAUUAGAUACCCUUGUAUAGUGGGCAGACAAUGAUGAGUGUUAUAUGUAAGAUAUUUCUUGUGUAUAAAUUAAAGUGUAAGCACUCCACCUCAAGAGUAACGUGGCAACAUGGGAACUGAAAUCAUUAGGCCGUUUCUGAAACCCGUAGUGAAGUAUGUUGUUUAAUUUGUUAGCCCUCAAAUAACCUUACCACAAUUUGUAUAGCUUGUAAUUUUACAUUUAGUUUUUAAUCUUUAUGUUUAAAAACAUGUAUGCUAUUUAUAUGUAUAUAUAAUAUAGUAGAACUUACAAGCUACAAGCGUUGCACGGCUGUUUUUAGUCAAUGUUGUGAAACUAUGGUUAGGUCCAUUAAA